rnacentral:rRNA from 1 species
UGCAGUCGAACGAACCUUCGGGUUAGUGGCGGACGGGUGAGUAACGCGUGGGAAUCUGCCCUCAGGAGGGGGAUAACGGCUGGAAACGGCCGCUAAUACCCCAUAUGCCGAGAGGUGAAAUGAAUUUCGCCUGAGGAUGAGCCCGCGUCUGAUUAGCUAGUUGGUGAGGUAAGAGCUCACCAAGGCAUCGGUCAGUAGCUGGUCUGAGAGGAUGAUCAGCCACACUGGGACUGAGACACGGCCCAGACUCCUACGGGAGGCAGCAGUGGGGAAUUUUCCGCAAUGGGCGAAAGCCUGACGGAGCAACGCCGCGUGAGGGAUGAAGGCCUCUGGGCUGUAAACCUCUUUUCUCAAGGAAGAAGAUCUGACGGUACUUGAGGAAUAAGCCACGGCUAAUUCCGUGCCAGCAGCCGCGGUAAUACGGGAGUGGCAAGCGUUAUCCGGAAUUAUUGGGCGUAAAGCGUCCGCAGGCGGCCCUUCAAGUCUGCUGUUAUAACGUGGAGCUUAACUCCAUCAUGGCAGUGGAAACUGUUGGGCUUGAGUGUGGUAGGGGCAGAGGGAAUUCCCGGUGUAGCGGUGAAAUGCGUAGAUAUCGGGAAGAACACCAGUGGCGAAGGCGCUCUGCUGGGCCAUAACUGACGCUCAUGGACGAAAGCCAGGGGAGCGAAAGGGAUUAGAUACCCCUGUAGUCCUGGCCGUAAACGAUGAACACUAGGUGUCGGGGGAAUCGACCCCCUCGGUGUCGUAGCCAACGCGUUAAGUGUUCCGCCUGGGGAGUACGCACGCAAGUGUGAAACUCAAAGGAAUUGACGGGGGCCCGCACAAGCGGUGGAGUAUGUGGGUUUAAUUCGAUGCAACGCGAAGAACCUUACCAGGGUUUGACAUCCUGCGAACCUCUUGGAAACGAGAGGGUGCCUUCGGGAACGCAGUGACAGGUGGUGCAUGGCUGUCGUCAGCUC